AACGCUGGCGGCAGGCCUAACACAUGCAAGUCGAGCGGAUGAGUGGAGCUUGCUCCAUGAUUCAGCGGCGGACGGGUGAGUAAUGCCUAGGAAUCUGCCUGGUAGUGGGGGACAACGUUUCGAAAGGAACGCUAAUACCGCAUACGUCCUACGGGAGAAAGCAGGGGACCUUCGGGCCUUGCGUUAUCAGAUGAGCCUAGGUCGGAUUAGCUAGUUGGUGAGGUAAUGGCUCACCAAGGCGACGAUCCGUAACUGGUCUGAGAGGAUGAUCAGUCACACUGGAACUGAGACACGGUCCAGACUCCUACGGGAGGCAGCAGUGGGGAAUAUUGGACAAUGGGCGAAAGCCUGAUCCAGCCAUGCCGCGUGUGUGAAGAAGGUCUUCGGAUUGUAAAGCACUUUAAGUUGGGAGGAAGGGUUGUAGAUUAAUACUCUGCAAUUUUGACGUUACCGACAGAAUAAGCACCGGCUAACUCUGUG
rnacentral:rRNA from 1 species